GGCAGUAACAGAGAUGCUGCUGUAAGCCGUCAAUAGACGCGGUAAAACUAAAGGGAAAGUUACUGGAUACUGCUUAGAAGAAGGGUGACAGGGAAUGCGCAAAUUAAAUGUUUAUACUGCGUGUUCAAAGCUCAAGUGUUGGCCCCAGGCCCCCCAAAACGGUAGAUUCCACCUGGCCUUAAACUAUUUCCACAGAUAAUAACAACAAUAAAAUGUGAUCCUCAAACACGCACACAAUAGAAAUAUACAAUUCCUGCAUUUUUGUACGUUUGUUAAUUUAUUCUCUCAGCCCUGAUGUUGCUAAGACCUCGUGAUAAACCAAGAACAAGUAUCAAGUUAUCAGGUUGCAAGAAGCUUUUGUAAUAAGAGUAUUUUGUCUAAUCCCAAAUUGCAGUCGAAUUUUCUAAAUGCUGGGCUCGUAAAUCUCGGGAUUAGAGGAGGCGAGAAGAGGAGGGGGAAAAGUUUGGUUUCUUUAGCCGGCAGGAUGGGAGAGGGUCGGCGAUGUUGUCGGUCCUUAUUAAAACGAUGAUGCAUAAAAUACGAUAUUGAAGCUCGUACAGAAGGCUCGGUACCGAUUCCCCCGGUGUAUUUUAGGACGAGGAAAGUAUUUUCGGCGGUUGAGGGGCUUCGUGAAGUCCAACAGCUCAACACCUGAAGUCGGGCCGUGGACUUCAAAGCAGCUGGAUCCACAGAACGCGCUCUGGGACGCGCGCGGAGAUGCUCUCUACGUCUCGCUACGCCGUUUUGGAGAGCUCUUUUUUUUUGCCUCUAUACGAAUAUAUACUUUUAAAAGAUUUUUCAAAACGUUUUUUUUUCUUUCUUCCACUAAACACAGUGUUGGUUUGAGCCUAAAAACAAUAGUUGGCAAAACGGACAACAAUCAGGGUUCUCUCCAGGUGCUCGUCUUCCUCCUCAGCCCUGCCGACACACACACACACACACACACACACACACACACACACACACAGGAUCAAAGGUCACAGACGGGGACACAGGAGAAUGCCACCUGCACAUCCACCACCUAUGACCUGUACUUCAGAGUCAUUUUAGCUCUUGAAAUAUUCACAAGGCCUCUCUGCCUGACUCUAUCCCCACCACAAAACACUGAACACACUUUGAGGCAAAGAGAACACAGGUGGACUGCAAACUUUGGCCUUUAAAACCCUCUCUGAACCACGCUAUAGAGCCUGGAGGACUAAUCCUGGCAUCGACAAUCCCACAAUGCCUUGCAGCUGGAGGACUUACUCUUUCUCCUGGGCGUCUAGGUCUCGGACCAGUGCAUCACGUUUGUUGACCAGUAUGACCAGCUCAUCCAGCAGCAGCUGCUCUCGGCGCUUCUGCGCCUCUGUCUUCUGCCAGUCUGGAACGUGGAAAGGAAACAUGGAAGAAAGUUAGAGAAAAAGCUGAGACUGACCAUUAAUCACCUUACAGCACCUUCCAACAUAACCCAGGAAACAAGACUUUAGGGGAUAGUUCAUCCAAAAACGAAAUUUGAAAUAUAUCUGUUCAUAAAAUGAAAGUCUUUAGGCUCCAAAUUUGUUUUAGACACCAAUUCAUUUCAAAAGUUAGUGUUCCACAGAGGAAACAAAGUCAUAUGGGUUUGGAAAUGAUAUGAGGGUGUGGAAAUGAUGUCAGAAUGUCAUUUUUGGUUGAAUUAUCCUUUUAAAAAGACAAAGUCAUAUACUGGCUUUUAGUGAGAAAGAUAUAACUGUCCCGUGAUAAAAUAUUCAGAAAAUG